rnacentral:tRNA from 1 species
GCAGCGAUGGUUCAGUGGUAGAAUUCUUGCCUUCCAUGCAAGAGACCCAGGUUCAAUUCCCAGCCAGUGCA